rnacentral:rRNA from 1 species
GCAAAAGGUCAACCCUUCUCGUCAAGCCCGCGCGCCCACUCCGCCUCGUCUCCUCCCUGCUCCCAUCUCUCCCAUGUCGCCGCCCUCGAUCCCGCACCCCCUCCACCUCGUCUCGUCACUCCUCUCCAAGGCCGCCGUCCUCGAUGCGCCGUAAGGGAUGCCAUCGACACGUCGGGGAUACGCAGCGAUGGAACUCAACCGGAGUCCGGGAGAAACCCACUCCUAACCCUAUUCGCUCGAUUGACGAGCAGGGCAGUGGAUUGGAUCGAGGGCGCCCGCAUGGCCUCGCCGCUGCUGCCACCUGAAUUCCCUAGCCUCCACGUGGAGUCGCCCUGGCCGCCACCUCGAGUCACCUCCGUCGCCGCAGCGAGUUAGCUCCACCGUUGCCGCCAGGAUUCCCGUCCGGCAAGGAAAUAGCAUUCUUUGACGUGACUAGAACAGGAAAGCUCUUAAGGAGGCUUUCUAAAGAUACCCAAAUUAUAAAGAAUGCCGCUACAACAAACCUUUCAGAAGCAAUACGUAAUCUGACUACCACAGCUAUUGGUCUUGGCUUUAUGUUUUCAACUUCAUGGAAGCUAACAUAUCCUUUGCAGAUCAAUUGUCGAGGCAGAAUGCUAGGUGGCUCACGCUAAGCAUCGUUUCACAUUCACGUAAGGCUCUUUGUUUGCAACCAGUUUUGCACCCACUACACAUGGGGUUUGAUCUAAAUGUAUCAGAAAGAUGGUCUCGUUGAGAAACAUUUGGUAGAUAACUUUUUUGACCUGGGUAGAUAACUUUUAUUAUUCAAGAUGCAACAUGUUGUUUUGAUGUAUUUUGUUACGAUAUUUCUCUCAAUGUUUUGUGUACUGAACCAAAGACAAACACUUUUACUGGUGAUGUUGGGGCUUUUUUAACUGAGAUGUGAAAGAUGCAUCUUAUCCCCUGAGAAAUAUUGCCUUUCAUUUGUUGAUUUGUUUCCUGACAUGCUAAUUUAGAGCUAGAUAUGCAUGAUUCAUCACACACAUUACAGUCAAUUAUCCAUUGGAGUCUUUUGUCCAUAGAGGUGAUUUUGUUUGGACCACUGGUCUAGGUAGUGACAUUUUGAUCGAUAAGGCACAAGUUUAUUUUCUUUUUCACUCAGGGCUACACUAAAGUAAGCAUCACCGUCAGUGAAAAUAAGGCAUAAAAAUCAAGAAGUUUUUGCCUUGGUUGUGCGCCGCAUUUAGUUGUCACUUAUUUAUUUCUAUGAAGUUAUUCAAUUCUCACCGAGCUUUCCUUAUGCUUUCAAUUGCUAAAUAAGAAAUUUAAUAUGCAAUAUUUUUAAUGUCUGAGGAGGCGAGAGGAGAAGAAAAGGGUCUGUAAGGUCGGACUUAGGUGCAUCUCUGGCCAGAGAUGGCUGGAUCCAUCCGACGCUCUUCCAAACAGAGCGUGAAGAUUUGCUGACUGGAGUUAAGACCUGGUGGAGCCAGGCCAACGGGCACUAUCAGUGUUAAAAACCCUGCCCUGAUGAGCUUCUUUGUGCCCGGAACAAGACUAUUAGGGGCACCUUAAGCGAGUACUCGAGAGCUCAAGGCAUGCAGUCAAGUCGUACAAGGAGUGCGACCAGACCAACUUUCCUGUUCGUGUGACAGCAAAGUAGAACCCAUAGGAUGGACACUGAUGUAUGUAAUGGGUUAUCUGCAGUAUAUCUCAAUUUUUUAUGUGAUAUGUCAUGUAUAUAUAUGCUAAAGGUGAGCUUUAAUCAACCUGCAGCGUAUCUCAAUUUUGUAUGUGAUAUCUCAUGUAUGUAUAUGCUAAAAUUUUGCUUUUAUCAACCUCUGCGAUAUUUGAAUUUUCAAAA